UUUGCUUUUUUUUGCUUUUCCAGUGGAACAAACUGAAGCACUGGAAAAACCAUCUGAAGAAUUGGAUUGAGAGAUGAACUGUGCCUCACAGUAACCACAGGAGUUGAGCUUACCAGAUCACUGAUUGCAUUGGUUAAAAAAAAAAACAAACAUGAUAACUGCAAGCGAGCAAGGAAAUCCUCAGUGGAAACUAGAGGAGCCAGGGUUUGUUCUGAGUGAGAACAUUGCAGUUCUGUGAGCCAAAGCUGCUUGAGGGACAACAACCUGAGCAUGUGCGACCUCCAGCUGAAAUUUAAUUGGAUGAAAGAAAACACAAAAGGAAGAAAAUGGGAGGAGAUGGAGAUCCUGGAAAAGGGACGGACAUUUUGGGAAAUAGUGUGAUCAUGCAUCAGGCUUCGUGGGAAUCUAAUGAGUACAUAACACUUCCGGAAAUAUAAGAAUGCAUGCCGAACCCGAGGUAGAAAACUGCUUUGGGUGUUAACCCUCUUGUCUCUCACUACAGAAUAAAGCACACCUGCUGAUGGCAAUGCA